UUUCCGUAGGUGAACCUGCGGAAGGAUCAUUAAAUAAUCUGAUAAUUCAAUAAUUAUCUUAUUUACUGUGAACUGUUUUUAUUUAUGACGUAUAAGGGGAUGUCUUUAGGCUAUAAGGGUAGGCCUAUGGAAUGUUAACCUAGUCAUAGUCAAGCUGAUGCUUGGUACCCGAUUAUUACUUACCAAAAGAAUUCAGUUUAAAAUAUUGUAACAUAGACCUAAAAAAUCUAUAAAACAACUUUUAACAAGGAUCUCUUGGUUCUCGCAUCGAUGAAGAACGUAGCAAAGUGCGAUAACUAGUGUGAAUUGCAUAUUCAGUGAAUCAUCGAGUCUUUGAACGCAUCUUGCACUCAAUGGUAUUCCAUUGAGUACGCCUGUUUCAGUAUCAAAAACAACCCUUAUUCAAAAUUCUUUUUUUGAAUAGAUAUGAGUGUAGCAACCUUACAAGUUGAGACAUUUUAAAUAAAGUCAGGCCAUAUCGUGGAUUGAGUGCCGAUACUUUUUUAAUUUUGAAAAGGUAAAGCAUGUUGAUGUCCGCUUUUUGGGCCUCCCAAAUAACUUUUUAAACUUGAUCUGAAAUCAGGUGGGAUUACCCGCUGAACUUAA
rnacentral:rRNA from 1 species